CCAGAGCAAUAAACUGGAAGUUUAUUUAAUUUCAUUCACAAGUGCCAUUAAAAAAAAAUUAAAGAGACUAGGUGAUGAUGCACUCAGUAGAAUGUGCACGUUACAAUGAACAAGAACCUAGGUUCAAACCCUGGGUCCCCACCUGCAGAAGG